rnacentral:rRNA from 1 species
AUUGAACGCUGGCGGCAUGCUUUACACAUGCAAGUCGAACGGCAGCACGGGGGCAGCCCUGGUGGCGAGUGGCGAACGGGUGAGUAAUACAUCGGAACGUGCCCGGUCGUGGGGGAUAACGUAGCGAAAGUUACGCUAAUACCGCAUACGAUCUGAGGAUGAAAGCGGGGGACCUUCGGGCCUCGCGCGAUCGGAGCGGCCGAUGUCAGAUUAGGUAGUUGGUGGGGUAAAGGCCUACCAAGCCGACGAUCUGUAGCUGGUCUGAGAGGACGACCAGCCACACUGGGACUGAGACACGGCCCAGACUCCUACGGGAGGCAGCAGUGGGGAAUUUUGGACAAUGGGCGCAAGCCUGAUCCAGCCAUGCCGCGUGCAGGACGAAGGCCUUCGGGUUGUAAACUGCUUUUGUACGGAACGAAAAGGAUCUGGCUAAUACCUGGGGCUCAUGACGGUACCGGAAGAAUAAGCACCGGCUAACUACGUG